rnacentral:snRNA from 1 species
AUGUGGAGAUUCAACUAUUGAAU